rnacentral:tRNA from 1 species
UUAGCCUAAUGGUUAAGGCUUUGGAUCGCCAAUCCGGAGACGGCGGGUUCGAUUCCCGGA